AAAAAAAGGAAAAAAAGAA
rnacentral:sRNA from 1 species